rnacentral:rRNA from 1 species
GACGAACGCUGGCGGCGUGCCUAAUACAUGCAAGUAGAACGCUGAAGCUUGGUGCUUGCACCGAGCGGAUGAGUUGCGAACGGGUGAGUAACGCGUAGGUAACCUGCCUGGUAGCGGGGGAUAACUAUUGGAAACGAUAGCUAAUACCGCAUAAGAGUAGAUGUUGCAUGACAUUUGCUUAAAAGGUGCAAUUGCAUCACUACCAGAUGGACCUGCGUUGUAUUAGCUAGUUGGUGAGGUAACGGCUCACCAAGGCAACGAUACAUAGCCGACCUGAGAGGGUGAUCGGCCACACUGGGACUGAGACACGGCCCAGACGCCUACGGGAGGCAGCAGUAGGGAAUCUUCGGCAAGGGACGGAAGUCUGACCGAGCAACGCCGCGUGAGUGAAGAAGGUUUUCGGAUCGUAAAGCUCUGUUGUAAGAGAAGAACGAGUGUGAGAGUGGAAAGUUCACACUGUGACGGUAUCUUACCAGAAAGGGACGGCUAACUACGUG